rnacentral:rRNA from 1 species
AACGAACGCUGGCGGCAUGCCUAACACAUGCAAGUCGAACGAGACCUUCGUGACUACUGGCUCACGGGUGCGUAACGCGUCGGAACCUGCCCUUAUGUUCCGAAUUACUCCCCUAAAGGGGUGCUAAUACCGGAUAAUUUCUUCUAACACAAGAUCUCUCGCCUUUGGAUGGGCCCGAGUUGGAAUAGCUGGUUGGUAGGGUAAAAGCCUACCAAGGCUACGAUCCAUAGCUGGUAUGAGAGGAUGAGCAGCCACACUGGGUCUGAGACACGGCCCAGAAUAAUACGGAAGGGAGGAGUGGGGAAUAUUGGAAAAUCGGGUAAAGGAUGAACGAGCAAGGGUGCGUGAGUGAUGAAGGUCGGAGAGUUGAAAAGCUGUUUAAACCGGGACGAUAAUGACAGUACCGAGAGAAUAAGCACCGGCUAACUUCGUG